AACCUCUGCUGACUCCCUCUGUUUCCGGACAAGACAUUAAAGAAGAGGAAGUGGACAAUGAACCCGUGGCUGUUGUUGGAGCCGCAGAGCCUGAAGAAAUUAAAUCAGGCACAACAGCAGCACCAGAACCUCUGCUGGCUCCCUCUAUUUCCGGACAAGACAUUAAAGAAGAGGAAGUGGACAAUGAACUUGUGGCUGUUGUUGGAGCUGCAGAGCCUGAAGAAAUUAAAUCAGACACAACAGCAGCACCAGAACCUGUGCUGGCUCCCUCUGAUUCUGGACAGGAGGUUGAAGAGAAAGAAGUGGAGAAGGAACCUGUGGCUGUUGGAAAAGUCAUGCCUGAGAGAAGGAAAUCAAUCCUCAAGAGGCCUGGUGCUGCUGCAGAACCACAACCUAAAAAAGUCACCUUUGCUGACACUGAAAUGCCAA